ACCGAGUAGAAGUGCCUGCGUGGUGUCCACACAGAUUGUCUGAUGAUAAGAAAGAGUCAAAAGCGUCUUGCGAAGCUGACAAGUGAUGUCCCCUUCGUCUAGAGGCCCAGGACACCGCCCUUUCACGGCGGUAACAGGGGUUCGAAUCCCCUAGGGGACGCCAAUGACUGACAGUGGGUGAAAGGCACGGUCAACGCUAACCUAAAACUGAUUAGAAAUAGUCAGGUUUAUGUUAUCUGCUCUUUAACAAUCCGGAACAAGCUGAAUAAUUUGAAACGACGGCAUGUGAAUGAAAAUUCAUGUGUUGUUGGAGUCUC
rnacentral:misc_RNA from 1 species